rnacentral:tRNA from 1 species
GUGUGUGUAGCUUUGUGGUAGAGUGCUUGUGUAGCAAGCACAAGAACCUGGGUUAGAUCCCCAGCAAACCCU